rnacentral:lncRNA from 1 species
GGCAAAUGAGUCUCGGAUCUAUAGUAUAGGAAUACUAAGGUGAGAGUGCAGGUGGUUGUUAGAGAAUAACUUACACUAAGCAUGAUCAAUACAAGAAAUUACUAGGAUGUCUACUCACUCGUCAGUGGUUAUCUCGAUACUGCAGUGGUAUGAGUGAUCCUUUAACCUGCAGUGUCAUUAGCUAUUCGCAAUGAGGCUACUGAAUUUGACUACAUAUUUUUUUGAUCUCAAUAAAUUUAACUCAUUUAGAUUAUUUACUGGUAAUUAAGUUUGAUUAAUCU